rnacentral:rRNA from 1 species
GACGAACGCUGGCGGCGUGCUUAACACAUGCAAGUCGAACGGAAAGGCCCUGCUUUUGUGGGGUGCUCGAGUGGCGAACGGGUGAGUAACACGUGAGUAACCUGCCCUUGACUUUGGGAUAACUUCAGGAAACUGGGGCUAAUACCGGAUAGGAGCUCCUGCUGCAUGGUGGGGGUUGGAAAGUUUCGGCGGUUGGGGAUGGACUCGCGGCUUAUCAGCUUGUUGGUUGGGUAGUGGCUUACCAAGGCUUUGACGGGUAGCCGGCCUGAGAGGGUGACCGGCCACAUUGGGACUGAGAUACGGACCAGACUCCUACGGGAGGCAGCAGUGGGGAAUAUGGCACAGUGGGCGGAAGCCUGAUACAGCAACGCCGCGGGCGGGAUGACGGCCUUCGGGUUGUAAACCGCUUUCGCCUGUGACGAAGCGGGAGUGACGGUAAUGGGUAAAGAAGCACCGGCUAACUACGUG